rnacentral:tRNA from 1 species
AACAGUGUAGUAUAAUGGUUAAGGAGUUGGUCUUGGAACCUAAAGGUCGCGGGUUCGAUUCCCAGGUAGGACACUGCUG